rnacentral:rRNA from 1 species
GACGAACGCUGGCGGCGUGCCUAAUACAUGCAAGUUGAGCGCUGAAGGUUGGUACUUGUACCGACUGGUUGAGCAGCGAACGGGUGAGUAACGCGUGGGGAAUCUGCCUUUGAGCGGGGGACAACAUUUGGAAACGAAUGCUAAUACCGCAUAAAAACUUUAAACACAAGUUUUAAGUUUGAAAGAUGCAAUUGCAUCACUCAAAGAUGAUCCCGCGUUGUAUUAGCUAGUUGGUGAGGUAAAGGCUCACCAAGGCGAUGAUACAUAGCCGACCUGAGAGGGUGAUCGGCCACAUUGGGACUGAGACACGGCCCAAACCCCUACGAGAGGCAGCAGUAGGGAAUCUUCGGCAAUGGAAGAAAGUCUGAACGAGCAACGCCGCGUGAGUGAAGAAGGUUUUCGGAUCGUAAAACUCUGUUGGUAGAGAAGAACGUUGGUGAGAGUGGAAAGCUCAGCAAGUGACGGUAACUACCCAGAAAGGGACGGCUAACUACGUG